rnacentral:rRNA from 1 species
CGGGUGGCUGCACCAGUGAGGAAUAUUGCACAAUGGGGGGAACCCUGAUGCAGCAACGCCGCGUGGAGGAUGACGCAUUUCGGUGUGUAAACUCCUUUUAUAUGUCAAGAAAAUGACGGUAGCAUAUGAAUAAGCACCGGCUAACUCCGUGCCAGCAGCCGCGGUAAUACGGAGGGUGCAAGCGUUACUCGGAAUCACUGGGCGUAAAGGACGCGUAGGCGGGUUGGAAAGUCAGGUGUGAAAUCCUACAGCUUAACUGUAGAACUGCGCUUGAAACUUCCAAUCUAGAGUAGGGGAGGGGGAGAUGGAAUUAGUGGUGUAGGGGUAAAAUCCGUAGAUAUCACUAGGAAUACCUAAAGCGAAGGCGAUCUCCUGGAACAUUACUGACGCUAAGGCGUGAAAGCGUGGGGAGCAAACAGGAUUAGAUACCCUAGUAGUC